UACGAAGGGGGCUAGCGUUGUUCGGAAUUACUGGGCGUAAAGAGCGCGCAGGCGGUCGUUCAAGUCGAGUGCGAAAGCCCCCGGCUCAACUGGGGAGGGUCAUUCGAUACUGAUCGACUCGAAGGCAGGAGAGGGUAGUGGAAUUCCCGGUGUAGUGGUGAAAUGCGUAGAUAUCGGGAGGAACACCAGUGGCGAAGGCGACUACCUGGCCUGUUCUUGACGCUGAGGCGCGAAAGCUAGGGGAGCAAACGGG
rnacentral:rRNA from 1 species